rnacentral:rRNA from 1 species
UACGUAGGGUGCGAGCGUUAAUCGGAAUUACUGGGCGUAAAGCGUGCGCAGGCGGUUCUCCAAGUCCGUUGUGAAAGCCCCGGGCUCAACCUGGGAAUGGCAGUGGAAACUAGGGGACUGGAAUCUGGCAGAGGGGGUGGAAUGCCGCGUGUAGCAGUGAAAUGCGUAGAGAUGCGGCGGAACACCGAUGGCGAAGGCAGCCCCCUGGGCUGAGAUUGACGGCUCAGGCACGAAAGCGUGGGGAGCAAACAGG